UUAAUACUCUUAUUAAUUAGGGAGUCUGGCUCCGGUGCUUUCAAAAGCACUAAGCAUUUGGUGUUUAUAAAUUUUUCGUCGUUAUAUCUACUCCUUUAAUCAUUUUCAUCUGCUAGAUUAUACUAUUUAACUAAUCACUGACUCAACCCUAGAGGAUCACUAUUAUCCUAACUGCACAUCCCUUAAUUAUAAGGGCCGAAAACCUACAACAAUCAAUGACUUGGUAAUUUUAAAAGCAGAGAACCUCAAUUCUUAAUUAGGUGUUACUAGUCAGAGUGAGCAGUAUGGAUGUCAAUAGGUAUGGAUAUCCGAAAUGUUAGCCGAAUCCGAACCCGAAUCAAAACGGAUAUAUCCGAUGCUAAAUGAAUAUGGAUUUGGAUGUGGAUAUAAAAAAUAGAAACUCGACGGAUAUGGAUUUUGACUGUACCCAAUCCGAACCCGAAUUUAUUUUGUAUUAUAUAUAUAUAUAUAUAUAUAUAUAUAUAUAUAUAUAUAUAUAUAUAUAUAUAUAUAUAUAUAUAUAUAUAUAUAUAUAUAUAUAUAUAUAUAUAUAUAUAUAUUUAAUGUUAUAUUUGAAUUUGUAUUUUAAAAAAAUUUAAUAUAAUAUAUUUUGAAAUAUUGAAAAAAGAAAUAAUUGUUUCGGAUUCAAAUUUUCAGGUUCGGGUUUCGGAUUUUUGGUCAGGUUCGGAUUUGGAUAUGAAUUUUUAAAAUCCGUCGGGUUUGGGUUCAGAUUCGAAUUCCGAAUUUGGAGUCGGGUUCGGGUUCGAAUUUUUAAAAAUCCGCCCUGAAUCCGACCUGUUUACAUCUCUAGUGAGCAGAUCCAAAUUCCCAACCUGGGUGUUGGAUCUGGUCAUACACAUAACACAUAAACAAAGCAUUACUAGAACAACAACAACAACAACAACAGCAAGAGGUUAAUUAGGAAAGGAGUAAGUUGGGGGGUCUCCAUAAUAGAAAUAUUUAUUUUUCCAAGCAUGCAAUGCAUUGCACACCUAUUAUGCACCCAACCUUUUCUCUUAGUCAUUUCAUUUUUAAUUAAAGAUUCUUUCCUUUUCUCUCCAAUUUUCCCUCAACCCACAAACAUUAUAUAUCAGUAAAUCUNAGUAUCCUAGCCUAAUUCUUAUUUUAUAUAUGUUAAUGUAAAAACCCAACUAUAGAAUUCUAGUUUUUACACUUCUUAUCCUAUAUAUAUAUAUAUAUAUAUAUAUAUAUAUAUAUAUAUAUAUAUAUAUAUAUAUAUAUAUAUAUAUAUAUAUAUCUUAAAAAUUGAAAUAAAGAUCAAAUGAUAUUCCAAAAUAGCCUAUGGUUAGCAGGUCAUUAUGCUUUUUUACCUACCUUUCAUUUAAAGUCUCUUAUCAACAACAUGAUUAGAUAUUGUGAGAAGGAAAGAGAGUUACAUCAUUUUAUUUUCAUCUAUUGGUAUUAUAUCAACAUGAUAUGAUUUCAUACCAGUUGCUAUGGUUAGUGAAAAAAUAUAUAUGAGUUGCAACACAAUAUAAGUUUUUAUAAUAUAAUUAGAAUUAUUUUAAAAAGGUUAUUAAGGAAAAAUUAAACCCAAUUUAGAAUCUUCCUAAUUAAGAUGUUUCUAAAAAAUUAUAAACCUCAAUUAUUGAUCUCCAAGCCCCAACCUUGUUGGAUUUGGUCAUACCAUAUAUAUAUAUAUUCAUCCAAUAGUAACAUUACAACAUAAAUACAAAAGAGCUGUAAUACAAUACAAUAAAUUGUUUCUAUAUAAUAAUUUUUCUUACUAAAAUUAGAAUUUUAGAACAAGCCUAGGCUUAUGUUUUGGAGACUUAAAAUCUCAUUUUUAUUUCACACAGCAUAACAAAAACGGUAGAUUUUUUAUUUGUCAGGUGCUCUGUUAAGAUUAUCGCCACUGAAAGCAUAAAAAAGGGUUAUAGAAAAACAGAAAGUUAUUAAUACUCUUAUUAAUUAGGGAGUCCGGCUCCGGUGCUUUCAAAAGCACUAAGCAUUUGGUGCUUAUAAAUUUUUCGUCGUUAUAUCUACUCCUUUAAUCAUUUUCAUCUGCUAGAUUAUACUAUUUAACUAAUCACUGACUCAACCCUAGAGGAUCACUAUUAUCCUAACUGCACAUCCCUUAAUUAUAAGGGCCGAAAACCUACAACAAUCAAUGACUUGGUAAUUUUAAAAGCAGAGAAGCUCAAUUCUUAAUUAGGUGUUAAUAGUCAGAGUGAGCAGGAGGGAUGUCAAUGGGUAUGGAUACCCGAAAUGUUAGCCGAAUUCGAACCCGAAUGAAACGGAUAUAUCCGAUGCUAAAUGAAUAUGGAUUUGGAUGUGGAUAUUAAAAUAGAAACUCGACGGGUAUGGAUUCAGAUAUGAAUUUUGACUGUACCCGAUCCGAACCUGAACCCGAAUUUAUUUUAUAUUAUAUAUAAUAUAUAUAUAAAAGUUUGAUGUUAUAUUUGAAUUUGUUAAAAAUUUAGAUUUAAUAUAAUAUAUUUUGAAAUAUUGAAAAAAGAAAUAAUUGUUUCGGGUUCAAAUUUUCGGGUUUGAGUUUCGGAUUUUUGGUCAGGUUCGGGUUUGGAUAUGAAUUUUUAAAAUCCGUCGGGUUCGGGUUCGAAUUUUUAAAAAUCCGCCCCGAAUCUGACCCGUU
rnacentral:lncRNA from 1 species